GGGCGCUUGGUUUAGGGGUAUAACGUAUCACCCGCAUAGAUUAUGCUGUUAUGAUAAGGUCGCCGGUUCGAUUCCGGCAGCGUCCA